rnacentral:rRNA from 1 species
ACACAUGCAGUCGAGGGGUAACAGAUCUUCGGAUGCUGACGACCGGCGAACGGGUGAGUAACACGUAUGCAACUUACCCAUAACUCGGGAAUAGCCCAAAGAAAUUUGGAUUAAUACCCAAUAAUACAGGCGUACCGCAUGGUAUUCUUCGUUAAAGAAUAAUCGGUUAUGGAUAGGCAUGCGUUCUAUUAGGUAGUUGGUGAGGUAACGGCUCACCAAGCCGACGAUGGAUAGGGGAACUGAGAGGUUGUCCCCCCACACUGGUACUGAGACACGGACCAAACUCCUACGGGAGGCAGCAGUGAGGAAUAUUGGUCAAUGGACGAAAGUCUGAACCAGCCAAAUCGCGUGAAGGAAGAAGGUAUUAUGUAUCGUAAACUUCUUUUGUAAGAGAGUAAAGUGCACUACGUGUAGUGUAUUGCAAGUACCUUACGAAUAAGCAUCGGCUAAUUCCGUGCCAGCAGCCGCGGUAAUACGGAAGAUGCAAGUGUUAUCCGGAUUUAUUGGGUUUAAAGGGUGCGUAGGUGGUCUAAUAAGUCAGUGGUGAAAUCUCUUUGCUUAACAAGGAAAUUGCCAUUGAAACUGUUAGACUUGAGAAUGGACGAGGUAGGCGGAAUUCGUAGUGUAGCGGUGAAAUGCAUAGAUAUUACGAAGAACUCCAAUAGUGUAGACUGCUUACCAGACCAUAUCUGACACUAAGGCACGAAAGUGUGGGUAUCAAACAGGAUUAGAUACCCUGGUAGUCCACACAGUAAACGAUGAAUACUAACUGUUUGCGAUAUACAGCAAGUGGUCGAGCGAAAGCGUUAAGUAUUCCACCUGGGAAGUAUGCCGGCACGGUGAAACUCAAGGAUUGACGGGGGCCCGCACAGCGAGACAUGUGGUUAUCGAUAUACGCGAGACUACCGGGC